AUUGAACGCUGGCGGCAUGCUUUACACAUGCAAGUCGAACGGUAACAGGCCGCAAGGUGCUGACGAGUGGCGAACGGGUGCGUAAUGCAUCGGAACGUGCCCAGUCGUGGGGGAUAACUACUCGAAAGAGUAGCUAAUACCGCAUACGAUCUAUGGAUGAAAGCGGGGGACCGCAAGGCCUCGCGCGAUUGGAGCGGCCGAUGUCAGAUUAGGUAGUUGGUGGGGUAAAGGCUCACCAAGCCAACGAUCUGUAGCUGGUCUGAGAGGACGACCAGCCACACUGGGACUGAGACACGGCCCAGACUCCUACGGGAGGCAGCAGUGGGGAAUUUUGGACAAUGGGCGAAAGCCUGAUCCAGCAAUGCCGCGUGCAGGAAGAAGGCCUUCGGGUUGUAAACUGCUUUUGUACGGAACGAAACGGCUCUGGUUAAUACCCGGGGCUAAUGACGGUACCGUAAGAAUAAGCACCGGCUAACUACGUG
rnacentral:rRNA from 1 species